rnacentral:rRNA from 1 species
AAUCAACGCUGGCGGCGUGCCUAACACAUGCAAGUCGCACGAGAAAGGGGAGCAAUCCCUGAGUAAAGUGGCGCACGGGUGAGUAACACGUGAAUCAUCUACCUCCGAGUGGGGAAUAACUGAGAGGAAUCUUAGCUAAUACCGCAUAACACUUACGAGUCAAAGCAGCAAUGCGCUUGGAGAGGAGUUCGCGGCCGAUUAGUUAGUUGGCGGGGUAAUGGCCCACCAAGACGAUGAUCGGUAUCCGGCCUGAGAGGGCGCACGGACACACUGGAACUGAAACACGGUCCAGACUCCUACGGGAGGCAGCAGUGGGGAAUUUUGCGCAAUGGGGGAAACCCUGACGCAGCAACGCCGCGUGGAGGAUGAAGUAUCUUGGUACGUAAACUCCUUUCGAUUGGGAAGAUAAUGACGGUACCAAUAGAAGAAGCCCCGGCUAACUUCGUGCCAGCAGCCGCCGC